rnacentral:rRNA from 1 species
UACGAAGGGGGCUAGCGUUGCUCGGAAUCACUGGGCGUAAAGGGUGCGUAGGCGGAUCUUUAAGUCAGGGGUGAAAUCCUGGAGCUCAACUCCAGAACUGCCUUUGAUACUGAGGAUCUCGAGUUCGGGAGAGGUGAGUGGAACUGCGAGUGUAGAGGUGAAAUUCGUAGAUAUUCGCAAGAACACCAGUGGCGAAGGCGGCUCACUGGCCCGAUACUGACGCUGAGGCAUGAAAGCGUGGGGAGCAAACAGG